rnacentral:rRNA from 1 species
GUGGGGAAUAUUGCACAAUGGGCGCAAGCCUGAUGCAGCCAUGCCGCGUGUAUGAAGAAGGCCUUCGGGUUGUAAAGUACUUUCAGCGAGGAGGAAGGCACCGUACCUAAUACGUGCGGUGAUUGACGUUACUCGCAGAAGAAGCACCGGCUAACUCCGUGCCAGCAGCCGCGGUAAUACGGAGGGUGCAAGCGUUAAUCGGAAUUACUGGGCGUAAAGCGCACGCAGGCGGUCUGUCAUGUCGGAUGUGAAAUCCCCGGGCUCAACCUGGGAACUGCAUUCGAAACGGGCAGGCUAGAGUCUUGUAGAGGGGGGUAGAAUUCCAGGUGUAGCGGUGAAAUGCGUAGAGAUCUGGAGGAAUACCGGUGGCGAAGGCGGCCCCCUGGACAAAGACUGACGCUCAGGUGCGAAAGCGUGGGGAGCAAACAGG